GCCUUCUUGGCUCAGUUGGUUAGAGCGCAGGUCUCAUAUGCAAUUAUGAGGUAGUUUGUCUACCAUUAAUCCUGAGGUCGAGAGUUCGAGUCUCUCAGAGGGCA